UGCCAAGGGCAGACUCCAGCCGGCAUCAAGGACAAGGCAAUGACAGAAUGCAGAGAAAGUGUCAGCUGGGAGCCACUUAGCCGACAGUCUGUGAAUACAGGGGUGCUGUCUUUCUGCUGGCCUAUCCUCCCUUCAAAACUCCUGCACAGAACCUUCCUCAGCUGCUCAGGACUCUUCUCCACUGCACCCUCAUGAGACUGCCAACUCCCCCGCUCAAACACCUUCAGUGGCUCCUCACUGUGGCUCCUGUGUGUCCAGUUCAUCCCGAGACUGGAGGCUUCUGAGAGGACCGCCCUAGAGGAAUCGGGGCAGCUGUGCUGAGAACGCUGGGUGGCAGUUAUCAAGAAUGACAUUCAUCUGUUUGUGCUGAUGCAGAGAGAAUUCUAAGACUUAUUCCAGAGGAAAAAAAAGCAAGCUGCAGAAAAAUGUAUAAGAGGGAGACACAGAAUCUGAAACAGG